GGGAGAGGAUGAUCGUCACGUGGUUUAAUCAGGUUCUGUGGGUAGGGGCGCAGUGCUGCAGAGACGGAGGUUGUUGGUUCGAGUCCUCUCCCUGCCCUCAGAGUCUCAUCUAGCAGGCUGGAGAAGAGCUUGGAGCAUUCGGCUGGUUUUGAUUGCACGUCAGCCUGGGCAGGAGGCAACCUUCGAGCUCAUGUGGUGCUGAGGUUGAGACGUGUAAACCAAAGGGAAAAACAGAGGAAAGUGCAUUCCAGACAGAAGUCUUCUGUAUUGAAAUUCUGCCUUGAAAUUAUCAAAACAGGACAACAGGGCGAGGCCAGUACAGCUGCUGAGAGACGUGGAUCCCACGAAUCUGAUUUGAGAUAACUUAACUGGGUUGUUCAGUAUUUAACUUCUGAAAAACUUGGUUUCGCACUGAAGUCUGUAGCAGGCCCUGAGUCCUAUGUCUUCAGUUCGCUGUCCGAGGUACCUCUGCCCCCAGCUCUGCAAAACGAAGUAUGGAUUACCACGCAGAUCCUCUGGGCUUUUGAAGCCGAAGAAAACCAUGCUUGGAGGGUUUCCUGAGCUCGGGGAGGAAGAGAGGGGAAUAAUCCGGCCCCGAAGGACCCCGUCCUCUUUUCCUUGCCCACACCAGCUUUCCCCAGUAGAUGGCAGCCGGAACACGCACACUGCCGCUCGGCACCGAGUGGCGACGCAUCUCAAUUUUCCUCGCCGAAGUGAUUUUUAGUUAACGCACACCCUAUGUUUUCAUUUAUGCUGGCCAAAUGAGGUUACUUUGACCUUGAUUAAUAAAAUGUAUAAUCAUUUUGGAAAUAUUUGAGGCCGGAGACCUGCCAACUGAUCCCCCUCCCCUCGAGUGCGCAGUGAUCGAUACGACAUAAUCUAAAUUGCAAAUCACACAGCGCAUUGCACGGCACGUCUCCCUCCCAGUCACCCUGCCUGCCUCCCCCCGCAUAAUCUAUCCGUUCCGGAGGUGAUUUGCGGUUGUCAGAACGGGGGAGGAAGCAACAAGGCAAACGUGCCCUUGCUUGUUACUUUUCAAGAACAAGUAAUGCGGCAAAUCGCCGCUGCCAUCACUUAUGGCAUUAAUCAGAAGCUGCCACGAGGCGUCCCUCCGCUGCGGACCAGUCCUGGGCCGAGCGGGGACGUUUCUGCUCGUUUCCGAACAGCCGCGGGACGGGGCGGCGGCGGGAACUGCGGGACACGCUGCGCCGGCAGGGGGCGCUGCUGCAUUAGGACAUGUGCGGACAGCCCGUCCUUGUUCCUUCUUUCCUCUCCUUCUUCCCUUUUUCCUUUUUCCUUUUUUUCCUUCUUUCAUUUCAUUUUUCCUUUUUCCAUUUUCCCUCUUCCCUUUCCCCUUUCUCAUUUUUCCUUUUUCCUUGC